CAUUGCAAUUUCUUUAGAAAAGCCCAAUUAGUCGAUUAAUCAAUAAGUCGAUCAGUUCACUUUUAAGUGAAGAUAUUUGAGCUGAAAUAAUCAGAAACAGUUUUUAAUAAUUCAAAAUAAAUUAAAAUUCCCUUUUUCAAACAGAAUUUCCAGUUUUUUUAUUGUUAACCCUGAAAGGUCAGAAAGUAUGGAGUCCCAAAAUAUUUAUUUGUUUUGAUUUUUAAACAUUAUGGUGGCUACUAAACGCCGUUAACAGCUGUUCUGGAGCUUUCUGCUGUAUCAGAACAGACGUUGAGAAAACUCCUGAAAGCUCCAGAACCGCCACUAAAUGGACCUCGUGGUGAUAUUCUUUUCUCAAAAACUCAAAAUCGACUCAACAGAUGGAAUUUCUGAGCAAGUUUGCGGCCUAAAUUCAGUUUUUCUUCAGUUUUGUGUUUCGUGUCUCCAGUUUGAGUCUGUAAAUGUCAAAGAUCUUUUUCUGUUGCUCUUUACUGAUUUUAAUUUUUCUAGUGAUUCUGUUUUUGGAGACUCAGAUUUAUCUCACGAGAUUUAUCUCAGAUAAAGUUCUGCUCUGUUCUUCAACACUUGAUGCAAAAAAAACCAGACAAAAGGUCAGAAGUUUUAAUUUCAGAGCCGAGCUGCAAAAUCCCCAAAAAUUACUGUCGAGUGAAAAAUCUUAAUUUCAACAUUUAAUCUGAAGAUAAAAGUCAGUAAAUUGUAUUUGAGUGAGAAUUCGUUGGAUUAUUUUGAGCUCGGCUGUGAAAGUUUGGGCCUCAUCGGUGCCUUUGUGGGGUUUCAUCAGUUUAUUUCUGUUUUCUCUUUGAAUCAAAUGUGGCCUUUCCUCACAAACGGCUGCGUCUAUUAAAGCUGAAAUAAAACAAUAAAAGCGUGUCGGAGUGUUUUUAUGACAAUAUUAUUUAGUUUUUCUUUGUUCUUACAGGAUCUUUUUGUUUUUUUCACGUCAUAUUGGCAGAAAUGGGCUUCCACAGUUUCAGUCUUCUCAAACAGGUGUUCACCGGAUGCUGUGGUGUUUCCUCCGGUGAGCUUUACUCUCAGUCAUCGCUCCCACAGUCGGACCCGGUGGAUCCGGUGGACCCGGUGGACCCGACAGGACGAACGGAUCCGGAGUCAAACCUGAACAAUGUGAGUUUAAACUUUUUAACUUUAAACAAUAAAAAUAUAAAACUUUUACCGUCUGCGGCGGCUUUUUACCGCCAGUUCUUCCAGCGGCGCCAAACCGCGUUCAUAAAUCUGCUGAUUGUUGUUUGUAAAAGUUGCGGCUUCUUCAUCACAAACAAUUAUUGAUAUUUAUUCACUUUUUCUGAACUGUUUAUGGACAAACUUCAAUUCGGCGUCGAUCCAAUCAUCAAGAACCUUCUAUUAAAAACCAAAACCAAUCAACAAAUCAAUAAAUCAACUGGUUCGGGUGUUACACAAGUUUAGGUAAUCCAUCAGCUGUUGGCUGGAGGAGGGAAAGUUUCUGCUUCCUCAUCAUAGAUUGAAUUAAUGAAUGAUUUAAGAAUGAUAUUAUAAUUAAUAAAAGAGCAUAAGCAGGUUGAGAGAAGUAAGAAACUUCCUCUCUGCAAGGUCCCAUCUGAAAACGAUCCGAUUUUAUGAGGCAUGUUUCUAUGGAAGCUCUUUUCUGCCAAUGUGACGAGAAUCAUUAAGUUAAGAUUCUUUAAGUCCUUAUAACGAGAAACUGUAUUAAUAUAUUCACUAAGUAUCUCAAGAUAAUGACCUAAUAUCACAAAGUCAUUAUUUGUCGUCACAUUGGCAGAAACAAGCUUCCAUAUAUUGUAUUUGCUGCUUUAGGGGACGAAAUGAUUCUCCUCCAGCAACAGUAACACACACACACACACAGUAACACACAGUAACACACACACAGUAACACACACACAGUAACACACACACACACACACAUAACACACACACACUAACACACACACACACACACACACACAGUAACACACACACAGUAACACACACACACACACAGUAACACACAGUAACACACACACACACACACACACACACACACACAGUAACACACACACAGUAACACACACACACACACACACACACACACACACACACACACACACACACACACAGACAGCUUUAUGUAACUGACCUGCAGUGUUACAGACAGUGAACUUUGGUAAAAUGGAGCUUUAAUAUCGGCGAGUAAUAAUAAUUCUAUUCAAUAAUAACAUUAAAGUUAAUGAUGGAGGCUGAAUGUGGUUAAACUCUCAGUUUAUAUUCACUUCUUCCUGCAGCUGAAACCAACGUCUGUCUGUCUCUCUGUCUGUCUGUCUCUCUCUCUGUCUGUCUCUCUCUCUCUCUCUGUCUGUCUGUCUGUCUCUCUCUCUGUCUGUCUGUCUCUCUCUCUGUGUCUCUCUCUCUGUCUCUCUCUCUCUCUCUCUCUGUCUGUCUGUCUCUCUCUGUCUGUCUGUCU
rnacentral:lncRNA from 15 species